UCAUACAAGAGGCCCAAAUUAAUAGUAGACGGCGUAAAGAGUGGACCCAUGACUAUCUUAGCAAUUAAGGCCAAAAAGUAACUGAGCUGUCAUAAGCUUAAGAUAUAUUUAAAAUCACCUUAGAGACGGCCUUAACUUUUACGACCCAUUAAACUCCACGAAAGCCAGGACACAAACUGGGAUUAGAUACCCCACUAUGCCCGGCCCUAAAUCUAGAUGUUUCACCUACUAAGACAUCCGCCAGAGAACUACGAGCACAAACGCUUAAAACUCUAAGGACUUGGCGGUGCCCCAAACCCACCUAGAGGAGCCUGUUCUAUAAUCGACAACCCACGAUCCACCCGACCACUUCUUGCAGUAAAUAACAGCCUACAUACCGCCGUCGCCAGCUCACCUCCACUGAGGGCAUAGUAGUGAGCACAAUCGCCCAACCCCACUAACACGACAGGUCAAGGUAUAGCCCAUGAAGUGGAAGAAAUGGGCUACAUUUUCUAGCUUAGAAUACCCUUACUCCAACGGAAGGGAGUGUGAAACAACUCCCAGAAGGUGGAUUUAGCAGUAAAGAGGGAUAAUAAAGCCCCCUUAAAGCCGGCUCUGAGGCACGUACAUACCGCCCGUCACCCUCCUCACAAGCUUCAAGUCUCAAUAGAUAAUACACCCACUCGCCAAAGAUGAGGUAAGUCGUAACAAGGUAAGUGUACCGG
rnacentral:rRNA from 1 species